rnacentral:RNase_P_RNA from 1 species
UGAGACCUCUUGAUGGCCGCGGCCGUGAUCUUCAUUGGGAUCGGCUGAGGAACUUCCGGGCUCCAUAGAGCACGAUGGCGGAUAACGUCCGCCCAGGGUGACCUGAGAGAUAGCGCAACAGAGAACAGACCGCCCGUCCACGACGGGUAAGGGUGAAACGGCGGUGUAAGCGACCACCGGGCCUCUGGUAACAGUAGGUCGCAUGGCAAGCCUCAUCGGGAGCAAGGCCAAGCAGAUGGCGGUAAGGGCUGCUCGCCCGUGUCAUCGGGUAGGCUGCUAGAGCCUGGCGGUAACGUCAGGUCGAGAUGGAUGGCCAUCCGUGCCGUGCGUUCGCGCACGGCACGACAGAACCCGGGGUAUAAGAGGUCUCAUUUU